ensembl:lncRNA
CAUUAAUGGGUUUUCAUAGCAACAGAUCUCCCAAACUGCCCCAGUCCCUCUCCAAACAGUGCUGUCAAGCCUCUCAAGCAGUACACAUUCCUCGGUUUGAUAUUAGAGCCAAUAUCCUUAUAGCACAGGUGUCUAAGAAUGCACACGGACUUUGAAUGGCACUAAAGACUUAGGAGCAGACCCAAGAACACGAGAGACAGAUAUGGUUGAGGGGCAACAUUUUCCAGCUGCUUUUCAGGUACUGCCAGCCAGCUGCAUCUUGUCUUGUCCUGGCAUUGCUGCCACCCAGCUUGUUUCCUGUUAGAGCUAACUUUCUUUGGGAUAUAGAGCAUAUUAACUACAGAGAUCUUAAAACACAGCUUCCACCCAUAGCAUGUGGGAACAAAACCAAACCUCAGCUUCUGUUUUUGCACAGUGACGACUCUGACUCCCUUCAUCUGAAAAAUCCCUUCAGGAAAAUGAAGCAUUAAUCCUGUACUUCUAUGGCAGACUCUAACUCUCUUCCCUCAUAGCAGGAAGCCUUGUUAGGAUCAAUCUGAGUCACAGCUGCUCUGAAUUCCAAAGGGUGAGAUCUGUUGGGCUGUUGUAAAUUACUCUCUUCACAGAGGGCAAGAGGCUGUAAGUGGCACAGGUGUGCCACCACUUAACCACCCUCACCACAGGCUGCGGCUCUUGGGAGAGCUGGCUAGCAAUGUAGUCAAGGGAAAAAAUAAAAGGAGGAAGACUUCUCUUUGCUAAGGGCACAUCAGCAAGCCUUGCAAGUGCCAGAGUUUUUGUAUCUCGCCAAGGAGUACAGCAGGCAAGCAUUCCCUUUGAAUGAAAUGUCUACUGCCUGAGCAAUCUGAGUGCAAACCGGAGCCUAAGUCCUUCUCCUUUGCUCCCUCAUACUGAAGGAGGUGCUGCUGGGAGCUGGUGCUGCACAAGCAAGUUCUGAGCAUGUUUGCUGUUCUUCCUGUCAAAGGCUUUUGUCCUGCUGUGGGAGGAGGCUAAACACUGCGGGCAGUACUGGCAGUAUCCCUAGCUUGCUCUUACAGAUUUCCGUAACCACCAGGAAUGCUGGAUGCCAGGGAGGAUGCAGAACCCAAGGAAAUCAAAAGGAGCCAUGAGUGUACUCUACAGGGCAAUGGCAGUAUUUGCCAGCUAUGGCUGCAAUACGUAUACACGGAAAGGAGAAAGUACAUGAAGUUCUACUUAAGGUUUUCCUAUGAGCUUCUACGGUUUUCUCUGGGAGCAUCACGAAGAGUUAGGCAACUCCAGAUUGAAAGACCCUGGCCUCAAGGGCUGAAGAAUAGAGCUACAUUGUAACAUCCUGAUACUUGCUGACAAUUUUCUCCCUUAAUAAAACGUUGCCGCUGUCCUCUCCAUUUAUAGCAUCAAAGAGAACCCUUCUAACCUCCUAAAUCCUGUUUUAGUGUCGUAGGCUACAGAUUAUUAGCCAAAGCACAACUGCAUUUGAUGUAGUUAUAUCAGGAAGAAACAUAAGUAACAUUUAUAAUGCAGAAAUACUUAAAAAAAUUUAUUAAAAUUUAUUAAAAUAUGUUUAAAAUUAAAAUUUAAAGCAUUUAAACUUCUGUGUGAGCUCCGAGGCAGCUCUGUCUUUGUGUAUUACUGAAUACGAAAUGCUGAGAGGAAUUGAUGUGGCGGUCUCCUUUUUCUCUAGUUACCCUCCUGCAGCACAGCGCAGCCCGCUGCCCCUACAGGACAGCCUGCUUCAUGACGUUGUCCCUCAAGAUCUCAUUCCACUGUUAAUUUUUUUGUUGUUGUUGUUAGAAUAAAACACCUUGAAGUCCUGCUCUGACUUACUGCCUUCCUGACUUUGCCCUGCAACUCCGAGUAACACCCUGCGUGUGUACUUCACGUCAAAGUAAACUCGAGUUAAAAACACGCUAUUUGCGAAGUCAUUUAAGGACGGAUGAGAUCGGUGUUGCCCUCGCACUACUUACUGCAAUGUUUCUGACUGCAAAUUGCCCCAGAGCAGCUCUCUGGGCAGCAUGCUUUCUGCCACCUCAGGCGCUGCCGUCACCCCGCAGGCGUAAAGCUGCCGUACGCGCCCGUGAGACACCGUGAGAAAGCUCUCCUUUCUGCCGCUCUCUCAGGGGCUUUGUCUGGGCUUGGAGGCGGCCCGCGAGGAGGCAGCCGGGCUGCCGGGACAAGCGUCUGACGGUGCGCUGACGCACGCCAGCGGAGAAGGGACAAAGGGAACGAGCCCGCCACCUUUGUACACCGCAGGGGAGGCGCUGCCCAGACCGCAGUAGCCGUCCUGCCCGCAAGAUGGUGGCCCGCGGGCCCGGCCCGCCUAGGCCAAGAUGGCGCCCGACACCUC